rnacentral:rRNA from 2 species
GGGUUUCGGNUCGUAAANUCUGUNUAAAGAAGAACAUAUCUGAGAGUAACUGUUCAGGUAUGACGGUAUUUAACCAGAAANCACGGCUAACUACGUGCCAGCAGCCGCGGUAAUACGUAGGUGGCAAGCGUUGUCCGGAUUUAUUGGGCGUAAAGCGAGCGCAGGCGGUUUUUUAAGUCUGAUGUGAAAGCCUUUCGGCUCAACCGAAGAAGUGCAUCGGAAACUGGGAAACUUGAGUGCAGAAGAGGACAGUGGAACUCCAUGUGUAGCGGUGAAAUGCGUAGAUAUAUGGAAGAACACCAGUGGCGAAGGCGGCUGUCUGGUCUGUAACUGACGCUGAGGCUCGAAAGUAUGGGUAGCAAACAGGAUUAGAUACCCUGGUAGUCCAUACCGUAAACGAUGAAUGCUAAGUGUUGGAGGGUUUCCGCCCUUCAGUGCUGCAGCUAACGCAUUAAGCAUUCCGCCUGGGGAGUACGGCCGCAAGGCUGAAACUCAAAGGAAUUGACGGGGGCCCGCACAAGCGGUGGAGCAUGUGGUUUAAUUCGAAGCUACGCGAAGAACCUUACCAGGUCUUGACAUACUAUGCAAAUCUAAGAGAUUAGACGUUCCCUUCGGGGACAUGGAUACAGGUGGUGCAUGGUUGUCGUCAGCUCGUGUCGUGAGAUGUUGGG